rnacentral:rRNA from 1 species
UACGGAGGGUGCAAGCGUUGUCCGGAUUUAUUGGGUUUAAAGGGUGCGUAGGUGGCCUGUUAAGUCCGGGGUGAAAGCCCACAGCUCAACUGUGGAACUGCCCUGGAAACUGGACGGCUUGAGUACAGACGAGGGCGGCGGAAUGGAUGGUGUAGCGGUGAAAUGCAUAGAUACCAUCCAGAACCCCGAUUGCGAAGGCAGCUGCCUAGACUGUAACUGACGCUGAGGCACGAAAGCGUGGGGAGCGAACAGG